rnacentral:rRNA from 1 species
UCGUAGUUGGAUACGAAUAGGCCUUCGGGCAUGCACCUCAGCAGGCUGGCGACGGCUCCCGGGGAGAAACCCUCGAGAGCUGGCUAGCGGAUUGUAAUGUCACCUCGCGCGGGGAUAGAUCCUCUGCAGACGACUUAUGUGACCAAGCGGGUCGUGUAAGCGGUCAAGUAGCCUUGUUGCUACGAGUCGCUGAGCGUCACCCGACCUUGGCUAGAUUU